GAUGAACGCUGGCGGCGUGCUUAACACAUGCAAGUCGAACGAAGCACUUAAGAUUGAUUCUUCGGAUGACGUCUUUUGUGACUUAGUGGCGGACGGGUGAGUAACGCGUGGGUAACCUGCCUCACACAGGGGGAUAACAGUUAGAAAUGACUGCUAAUACCGCAUAACCCGAUAGGAUCGCAUGAUCCAGACGGAAAAGAUUUAUCGGUGUGAGAUGGACCCGCGUCUGAUUAGCUAGUUGGUGAGGUAACGGCUCACCAAGGCAACGAUCAGUAGCCGGCCUGAGAGGGUGAACGGCCACAUUGGGACUGAGACACGGCCCAAACUCCUACGGGAGGCAGCAGUGGGGAAUAUUGCACAAUGGGGGGAACCCUGAUGCAGCGACGCCGCGUGAGUGAAGAAGUAUUUCGGUAUGUAAAGCUCUAUCAGCAGGGAAGAAAAUGACGGUACCUGACUAAGAAGCCCCGGCUA
rnacentral:rRNA from 1 species